rnacentral:rRNA from 1 species
UACGUAGGCAGCGAGCGUUGUUCGGAAUUACUGGGCGUAAAGAGCGUGUAGGCGGCCAGGUAGGUCUGGUGUGAAAACUCGAGGCUCAACCUCGAGAGGUCAUCGGAAACCAUCUGGCUAGAGUCCGGAAGAGGAGAGUGGAAUUCCCGGUGUAGCGGUGAAAUGCGCAGAUAUCGGGAAGAACACCCGUGGCGAAGGCGGUUCUCUGGGACGGUACUGACGCUGAGACGCGAAAGCGUGGGGAGCGAACAGG